CCUACGGGAGGCAGCAGUGAGGAAUAUUGGUCAAUGGACGAGAGUCUGAACCAGCCAAGUAGCGUGAAGGAUGACUGCCCUAUGGGUUGUAAACUUCUUUUAUAUGGGAAUAAAAUGUUCCACGUGUGGGAUUUUGUAUGUACCAUAUGAAUAAGGAUCGGCUAACUCCGUGCCAGCAGCCGCGGUAAUACGGAGGAUUCGAGCGUUAUCCGGAUUUAUUGGGUUUAAAGGGAGCGUAGGUGGUCUGUUAAGUCAGUUGUGAAAGUUUGCGGCUCAACCGUAAAAUUGCAGUUGAAACUGGCAGUCUUGAGGACAGUAGAGGUGGGCGGAAUUCGUGGUGUAGCGGUGAAAUGCUUAGAUAUCACGAAGAACUCCGAUUGCGAAGGCAGUUCACUGGACUGCAACUGACACUGAGGCUCGAAAGUGUGGGUAUCAAACAGGAUUAGAUACCCCGGUAGUC
rnacentral:rRNA from 1 species